GGAAGACCGUGGCAUUACGGUCGAAAAUUUCACGAAUUUCCUUUGAGUGUUUCUUGGAUCGAUAAAUUCCAUAAGCUGUGGCUAAGAACAGAGAACUGUUUAAAAACAAAAUUAUAGACAUGGGAAUUCCAAGGAAUAGGAACACAGAAAACUCGCCAAGUAUCCAGCAAACGGUAUCGUCACCAUACAGAAAAUGAAAAGAGGUCAAAUUGCUGUCAAGAAUAUGAAUUGGCUGCUUCGCAGCAAUUAAAUGAAUCACUGACUGGGAUUUUCUGAAGGAGAUCGUCUGGAUUUGGUUUCUCACAUUUUGACCAAUUGACAUAAUCAAUGGUAUUUGG